rnacentral:rRNA from 1 species
UACGUAGGGUGCAAGCGUUGUCCGGAAUUAUUGGGCGUAAAGAGCUCGUAGGCGGUUUGUUGCGUCGGCUGUGAAAUCCCGAGGCUUAACCCCGGGCGUGCAGUGGAUACGGGCAGGCUGGAGGCAGGUAGGGGAGAUCGGAAUUCCUGGUGUAGCGGUGAAAUGCGCAGAUAUCAGGAGGAACACCGGUGGCGAAGGCGGAUCUCUGGGCCAUUACUGACGCUGAGGAGCGAAAGCGUGGGGAGCGAACAGG